rnacentral:rRNA from 1 species
UACGUAGGGUGCGAGCGUUAAUCGGAAUUACUGGGCGUAAAGCGUGCGCAGGCGGCUUUGCAAGACAGAUGUGAAAUCCCCGGGCUCAACCUGGGAACUGCAUUUGUGACUGCAAGGCUAGAGUACGGCAGAGGGGGAUGGAAUUCCGCGUGUAGCAGUGAAAUGCGUAGAUAUGCGGAGGAACACCAAUGGCGAAGGCAAUCCCCUGGGCCUGUACUGACGCUCAUGCACGAAAGCGUGGGGAGCAAACAGGAUUAGAUACCCUGGUAGUCCACGCCCUAAACGAUGUCAACUGGUUGUUGGACGGCUUGCUGUUCAGUAACGAAGCUAACGCGUGAAGUUGACCGCCUGGGGAGUACGGCCGCAAGGUUGAA